UGGGAGUAAUGGAUUGAAGGUGUCAAAAUUAAUGAUAUGGGUAUAUAAAAUUUUAAUUGACUGCAGGUGUGCAGGUUUCAGGUGAGAGUCGGGAAAUCAGGGUACAAUAGACCGCUGGUAUAAAAAUAUUUGACGAGAUGGGCGUGGAUAAUUUUAAUUGAAUGCAGGUGAGAUGCUUGUUGGGUUCAAUGGAAUGUUUAAAUAGAAAACUGGUGUAUGAGGGUAAAUUUGAAUAAGAACACGUUUUUAUUAAUCAUUUCCUUCACACGCGCAUUCAUACUUAUAAAAACAUAGAUUUUAUUUUAGGUAUAUGAAUUUUAAUAGUAUAAGCUUAUAAUGAAAUUCUAUACAAUGGAGACUUCAUCAUCCAUGGAGUAGUUGGUAUGGUAGUAGUUCAGGCUUAAGCGAUGUGUUUGAUGUAAUUCGAUUUCUUUGGUGAUGAGUUGAACCGAAUCGUCAUGGAAAUAAAUUAGUUCCCGGAAGAAUGAAAAUCCAUGAUCGGAAAUAUUUGCUUCUAUUGAAGUAAAUCUUUCGUUAAAUUUAAACAUUCUAUCGAAAUGAUUUUCUAGGUACUUUAUAACUGUGGGGGUGUUUAAAACUUCUCUUGUAUCCAGUAUCAGAUAUUUUAGAAUAUAUUUUGAUAUAUGAUGGAUAGUAGAAUCAACAUAAUAUUUUAGAGGUAAUCCUUGUAGAUGGUUUAACCAGUGAUUGACUCUCGUGCUGCAUAUUUUGAGAAAGCAGUCACCGCAAUAAAAAAAAAUCGAUUAUCCUGGAGUUGUAGUAUAACAAAGCGUUCAUUUUUAAAUUCAGAAAACUGAAUUUUAAAUUCUCCGUGUUCAAUUUGACAGAACUUACGAUAAAAAGCUGGGUUUUCUUCAUCGUAAAAAUAAUUAUUGAUGGUUUCCAUGGAACUACUUACUCAUUAAGAUUUAAUUGUAUUUCACAUUUUGGUUGUACACUGAUGAUUUGUACGACAGGUUUAAAGUCAUUGUCGUAAUAUUUUAAGCCGCAUCGUAACUACUUUGUGUUCGAUUUAUUUAAUGAAAUUACUUGAGCUUGGUAUACAAAGUCUUGGGAUGCCAUGGCUCUGAAGUGUUUGUAGUGCAGUCACAAUUUAUACGGAUUUAUAUUUGUUAUUUAAACUUACACAUGGAGUAGGAAAAAAGAGUGAAGGGGGGUGAUGGCCCAGAGCUCUGAUUUUCUGAAGGGGGGUCAACUAAUGGAGGGGGACAUUAACAAUUUUGAAUUUGAGAAAUUUAUUUUAUCGUUAUAUUUCAUUUAAGUGUUGUACGGCUUUACUAAAAAAUGUAUAAUUUAGACCUAUCGCUCGGGCAGCGGCAUAUAAAUUUAAAAGAGUUUUUUCAGGAAUAAAAACGACUCAAAAUUAGAAAAAAAAAAUUUCAAAAGUGUUUUAUAAGAGUGUUAUUGAAAAAAUACUUGAUUUUUAAAAUAUUAAUGCAAAUAGUGAAAAACAAUGUAAGUUAUGUGUAGGCUAUUUAAAGAAACCUCAUGUGAAUCUGUGGAAAUUUUCAGCCUUCGUAAGCGAAGAUUUAGACUUUUUUGAAUUGUGUCUUGCGAUACCUAGUUUGUGUAUACCUGAACGCAUGACACAAGAAUAUUAUGAGCACACUUCCUGGGAAAUUAAGUAUCACCCGCCUUCACUUAGGAGCAUAGCAAGCACUAGCAUCCUUACAAAUGCGGAUACAUAAUCUCAAAGUAUCGACUCAGAAUAUCUUGUUCACUUAUUGAAGUUCAAUCUGACGAAAAAAGUGUUAGCUUUAAGCCCCCCAUUGAAUCUUAACUAUGAAAUCGAAGAAAAACCAAUUAAAGAGAUGCAGUUAUGUGAAUUACAGUGUUGGGGUAGUGGUCGGCACUAUGUUCCUUUUUAUUCAGCGACUUUAUAUUGUUGUGGAAGAGAGAUAGAUUCGGUCAAAUGAAUAAUGUAUACCAUUAAAUAUUAGAAAACUGGAAAUUGUAAAGUCAUUGGUGGUGGGAGAACAGUGAUAAAUUUGGUAUAAAGAGCAGGAGGAUCCAAAACCUAACAGUCAGUGCUUGUAUUUGGAAGUGGUCACUACAGUGAAAAGUUAACAAAUAUUAACGAUAUCAAGUGAAUUGGAAGCAUUGCAUCCUUUAUUAAACGAUGGUUUUGAUGAAGAACUCAUAGCUAUUGGUGAGGGUUUUGAGAAGCAGCACCAGGUUGUUAUGAAGAUAAAUGGACUUAAUAUAACUCCAGAUUCAAGUGAAGACUCAGGGCAAGAUAUGUAUCCUGCAUCUCAGGAAAAAUAUAUGAAAAUGCAUGGACUCCGGUGAAAAUCGUCUCAAUUCGAUAAGCAGGUUUCGUUACCCCAUGGCAUCACAAAGUUUAGUCGAUCUUUAUGUCCAGGUAUUUGCAUAAAUUAAAUUUAUAUAGUUCUUCAUCAUAUAAUUAGGUAUUAAUAUUGAGUUCAUUUUAUUGUUGAAAACAGAGGAGAUCUUGGAAAAGAUAACUUCAGAGACAGUAGAGAAAAUCGAUAUUGAGUUAGAAACUCACAUGAAUAUUAAUCUUGAAUCUGUCUAUCAAACGUGGGAGUAUGCACGCUCAGAUGAGUCCAGUAGGAGAGAGCUUCUAGAGGAAAAGAAAAAUGAAGUUGUAUUCGAUUUCUUAAAGUCGUUUUUUUAGAUGGAAAUGAAUAUCCCUCUUCAUCAACUCCGAUCUCUCAAAGUCAAGAGCCAGCUCUAGUAGGUGUAUCUGAGAAAAAUGCUGAGUCUCCACAUGAAGAUAUGACGUUGAGCAGAAGAAAAAAAAACAACAAAUAAAAAUUCGGAAGGUCAA